GUUCUUGAAGAGACCAAAAUGACACCACUAUGUUGAGGUUGAGGAUACCAAUAAAUCUCUUAUUGUAUUCAGGCACAGCCUUGUCCUUGAUAUCUUUAUGCUGAAUGUCUUGACUGGAAAAGAAUAAGAACAUUCAAAAGGGAGGUUAUAAAGAAAGACAAGAUGAUGAUGGAGGGGACAGCUGAGGGGGAAGUGGACAGCUCACACAUUGGGUGACAGUGGCAUGCUCUACCUGG